GCUGAUACAUAAGACUGCUCUCAUCCAUUGAAGAGCUGACCAGAAACGUGAACAGAGAGACUGCAACUGCACCUGAUGGGAUCCCUGCCAUAACAGAUGUGUUCUGUCCAGUGAAGGCAGUGGAGAAGCCCUACACUGAUCUUGAAACUGUGCCACGCUAGUAGAGACCGGCUACAAGGAUGGGCAGCUGUUUUCGCAAAGUCAGCCAACCACUUGCUUCCAAAUGACCCUUAUCCAGAAGUAUCCGUGAGUGCCUCAUCAACAGAAACUAAAGUGGAGACCUACCUCUCAGAGAAAACGCACACAUAAGAAAAGCCGACCCACUUCAGUACUGGGAAGAACAUCCUAAUUUGUUUCCCUCUAUGGCUGCUGUUGCGAUCCCAGUGUGCCCCCUGUAGCUCUGUGGACAGUUUUGGAUUUGUUUACAUCUCACCCAACCGCUCACGGCAGAUGGCUGCACCCCUCUAAGCCUGGUUCUGCCGGAGGUUUCUUCCUGUUAAAAGGGAGUUUUUCUGAACACACUCUACCACCAACAAGGACAGCUCACCAGUGGGAACUGAUAGAUAAGACUGCUGAUGUGCUCUCAUCCAUUGAAGAGCUGACCAGAAACGUGAACAGAAAGACUGCACCUGAUGGGAUCCCUGCCAUAACGGAUGUGUUCUGUCCAGUGAAGGCAGUGGAGAAGCCCUACACUGAUCUUGAAACUGUGCCACGCUAGUAGAGACCGGCUACAAGGAUGGGCAGCUGUUUUCGCAAAGUCAGCCAACCACUUGCUUCCAAAUGACCCUUAUCCAGAAGUAUCCGUGAGUGCCUCAUCAACAGAAACUAAAGUGGAGACCUACCUCUCAGAGAAAA
ensembl:lncRNA